GGGUCAUGGCUCAGUGGCAGAGCAUUUGAUUUGCGUGCAGAAGGCCCUGGGUUCAAUCCCUGGCAUAUCCA
rnacentral:tRNA from 1 species